rnacentral:rRNA from 1 species
GUGCCAGCAGCCGCGGUAAUACGUAGGUGGCAAGCGUUAUCCGGAAUUAUUGGGCGUAAAGCGCGCGUAGGCGGUUUUUUAAGUCUGAUGUGAAAGCCCACGGCUCAACCGUGGAGGGUCAUUGGAAACUGGAAAACUUGAGUGCAGAAGAGGAAAGUGGAAUUCCAUGUGUAGCGGUGAAAUGCGCAGAGAUAUGGAGGAACACCAGUGGCAAAGGCGACUUUCUGGUCUGUAACUGACGCUGAUGUGC